AGUACACCUGUCGAUGUAAAACAGAGAAUACCAUCAUUUUGACACAUAUAACCAUCACUAUGGAGACAUUUGUCUAUGUAGCGGUUUUGCUGGUAUUUCCAGUUGUUUCACAUGCAGCUCAACUUAAGCGUGAUGGCCAAGCUGUAAGUUACAAUUUUUCCAGUAAAAAA